rnacentral:rRNA from 1 species
GAUGAACGCUGGCGGCGUGCCUAAUACAUGCAAGUCGAGCGAACAGACGAGGAGCUUGCUCCUCUGACGUUAGCGGCGGACGGGUGAGUAACACGUGGAUAACCUACCUAUAAGACUGGGAUAACUUCGGGAAACCGGAGCUAAUACCGGAUAAUAUAUUGAACCGCAUGGUUCAAUAAUGAAAGACGGUUUUGCUGUCACUUAUAGAUGGAUCCGCGCCGCAUUAGCUAGUUGGUAAGGUAACGGCUUACCAAGGCAACGAUGCGUAGCCGACCUGAGAGGGUGAGCGGCCACACUGGAAAUGAGACACGGUCCAGACUCCUACGGGAGGCAGCAGUAGGGAAGCGUCCGCAAUGGGCGAAAGCUUGACGGAGCAACGCAGCGUGAGUGAUGAAGGUCUUCGGAUCGUAAAACUCUGUUAUUAGGGAAGAACAAAUGUGUAAGUAACUAUGCACGUCUUGACGGUACCUAAUCAGAAAGCCACGGCUAACUACGUG